AAAAAUUAUGGGUACGGGUACGACAAAUAUAUACUAGUAAAAAAUAUAAAAUAUUUAUAAAAAAAUAAAUUUAUAUAGUGAAUCUAACAUAAUUAGAUAUAAUUUACUAUAAUAUGUCUAUUUUGCCAACUAAAAUUAGAAUCAAGAUAACAGUGACAGUUAAAAAACAAUUGCACAAACAUUAUGUCCCGUGAAAACUAGUCUUACUCAUAGCUAUGUUUUCUAACCGUCCCCAAGCCGUACCAGUGCUGUCCCAGUGAAGUACCCGUCCCCGAAACGUUUCCGGUACCGGUACGGCACCUAAAUCGACGUCCCCAUGCUACAUAGGUUUCUGGUUAGGUUGGUUGAAACAAAAAACAUCAAACUUCUUCUUCUUCCAUUGUUGGUUUCUUCUCCGCCACACCCGGAGCUAGUGCACGUCACCGUGCCUACGCCGUCGUGGUCUCUUGAAGGUCACCUGGUCGGAUUCUGUUCGCGGCGUCGUCACCUGAACACAAGCAACCCAGAUUCAAGCUUCUCUCGUAGCAUCUCUUCCUUCUCCGCCUCGGUAUGUGCUCUGCAAUUUGUCUCUGUCGUCGCCGCGGCUUGAGCUCUCGCCGCCGAAACGUCCCCUCUUCUCCUGAGAAACUCGCUGGAAAUCGGUUACAGAGGCUUCUUUUCUAGGUCGUAUAUCAGAGGAAGAUUGAUGUGAAGAACGACGUGAACUUUUGUGUAUCUUUAAGAUUUUCAGAAUUUGGGUUAAGGAUGAACUUGAAGUGUCGCACCAGUUCCGCCAUCGCCGAUGGUGGCCUUCUCAGAUCAGUCUUGAUAACAAAGCAGUGUUGAAUCUGAUGGUAUGGACUUCAUUGCCUUCAAAGCAACAUCAAAGUAUGUAAAUUGUGAUUAUUUGGAUCACUUGAGAGCUAAAGGUACAUAAUUUUUUUUUUAUUCUCAACAUGGGUGCAUGUUUGGCAAACCUUAAGUGUUACUUUAAAGCUACUUGCUUUCACAUUUCGAAAAAUAUAGAGGACAUUUGCAAAUGGUGCUGGAUAUUGAAAAUGGAGGACGUUUCCAAGUCUCCAUAUUUUAUUAAUUUGUUUUGUUGGUUCUUCCAUUGGAUUGCAAACUCUAUUCACAAUUUGUGAGGGUCAUGAUGGAUCAAAGACGUUGAAUGGACAUGUCCGUUGAGUUCUCCCGCUGACGAUCGCUCAUUAUAUUUCUGGGUUAAUCUUAGUUUCGCCCGAAUCAUCUUGUUUCAGAAUCAAGUUAUGGGUUUAUCUGAUAUUUUGUAAUAUUUUUAGAACAUGUACACUUUAUAUGAUGUUUUUGUGUACAUCAACUUUAUAUGAUAUCCAUGUGUACACCACUUUUAUGAUGUCUAUGUUGUACAUUUGUGGUGUGUACAUCAAUUUUAUAUAAUAUCCAUGUGUACACCAACUUUA